GUGUUAACUGUUCUGGGCUUGGGGGAAUAAUCAAGUUCUCCAGCUCUCUGAGUGUGGUGCUUGGUUUCUUGAUGGUCUGGCUUCUGCAACAGGUGGAGUAAUGGUCAAGUCUCCAGCUCUGCAAGCACAAGAUGACAAAUCCCUUGAGGACAUAAACUGUUCUUGGUCACCGAGACCCUGGCACAUAACAGUUGCUGCAUGUGAUGGUUAAUUUUACGUGUCAGCUUGACUAGGCUAAGGGAUACCCAGAUAGCUGAGCACAAGAGCAUGGGCUCAGUAGUUGUGGUGCACAGGCUCAACUGCCCCGCAGCCUGCGUGAUCUUCCCGGAUCAGGAAUUGAACCCGUGUUCCCUGCGCUGGUGGGCAGAAUGCACCACCAGGGAAGUCCGAGAUUGACUUUUAACAGGAAGCCCAUGACUGGGAAAUGAUGCAGAUUUUGGACAAACAUAAGCCUGAGG
ensembl:lncRNA